rnacentral:misc_RNA from 1 species
GAUGAAGAACGCAGCGAAAUGGGAUAACUAAUGUGAAUUGCAGAAUUCCGUGAAUCAUCGAGUCUUUGAACGCACAUUGCGCCCCCUGGUAUUCCGGGGGGCAUGCCUGUCCGAGCGUCAUUGCUGCCCAUCAAGCACGGCUUGUGUGUUGGGUCCUCGUCCCCCCCGGGGGACGUGCCCGAAAGGCAGCGGCGGCACCGCGUCCGGUCCUCGAGCGUAUGGGGCUUUGUCACCCGCUCUGCAGGCCCGGCCGGCGCUGGCCGACGCGAAAGCAACCAUUUUUUCUCCAGGUUGACCUCGGAUCAGGUAGGGAUACCCGCUGAACUUAAGCAUAUCAAUAAGCGGAGGA